UUUUUUUUGAAAAAAGGACCUUCGGCCAUCUGAACCGCAUUUCAGCGCUUGCCACUGCAUGAAAAGUGAGAUUUUCGUCCCCGUAAACGCCCGGAAAUCUCCCCAAUUUCCGACAAUUUGCAACCCGCGCACGUCGCGUUUGUCUGUGCCACAAAUUGUCGGAAACGAACCAUGACGUAUGCGGAGAGCUGGCGGAGGUGCGAAUGGCCCGAAUUAGCACAUGAAUGCAGCGAAACCGCGGGUGGCCGAGCGGGCUUGAAUAUCCUUACUCCUUAUUGGAUGAAACCACAACUUGCGAACAGAUAAAAUCACUCGUGAUUGGCAGCAAAACCACACCUGGGCUGACCAGGCUUGAGUUUCCUUGUUCAUGAUUGGAUGAAACCACAACUUUCAAUCACUCGUGAUUGGUUGGCAGAUCUGUCGCUAUUGGUCACCCGCCUCAUUUUAUUUAUAUAUAUUUAUAUAUUCAUAUUAUGCUGUAUAUUCAUUUCAUGGUUAUCCUAUGUAGGCUACUACACUAUUAUUAGGAUACCAACCAGGACAUCAAUGAAUUUAGAGAAAAUGAACAUUUGCCACAUGUUUAUGCAAAGAAAGAGCUUUAUUAACAACACACAAACAACAACUACAUACAAAGUGAGGAUCUGCCCACACUUGGGUAACGGCGGUUUAAAAAACUACAGCUCAGUAAACUGUCCGUUUGCCUCCUCGGGGUUGUAGACCGUCACUGGCGCCGUGUUUUCCGAGGCAGGUCUGUUGUGCAGGCGGCUCGUGUGUGUGUGGCGACCGUACAAUCCACCCGAGACCCCGCCAACAACGCCGUCCCCUCCGCCCGACGUGAGCUCCACGGUGGCGGAGUUCCACCUCGUCAUCAGCCAGCACACUUUGUCUUGAUUCCAGCAGCUGUAAAAACAACAAUGAAUCAGUACUGUGCGUACGGACACAACACAUCGAUCAAUCCACCUGAAACAAGUCAGCAAAUAAACUCUGACCCUCUUUCUUCUCGCUCGACUCCGCGCUGAAUCCUUCGCAGCUUCCGCCCGCAAUGAGUGUUCCGGCUGAACCUGAAGCUCCUGCGUCCCGUCUCUAAAUACGUCUUACAGGCGGCUGGAAAAACAAUUAAAUGAGUGUGGUAUGAAUACAAAAAAAAUCAAACGCAAGUCACAGUAACAUUUAACAAGGAAGGAGAAACAGUAAACAGUGUCACUUACACACAAUGACGUCGUCUAAAUCUGGACUUUUCCCGGAGCAAAUACGAGGUCACCGCCUCAUUAUGAGGCGAGAUUAGUUUGUGAAAACAAAAUGUACAGUUAUGAUCGGUAUCUAUACGUAUAUAUUUCCUUAUAGCGCAGAAUGAAAGCAUAUUCUGUAAAUCUGACCCUUGCUCCGGUUCGUGGCGCCUGUAGUUCGUCUCGGAGUUGUGAAGACGGCGCACCGCUUCCUGUAAAGGACACUGCAAAGAAAAUACACUUCAAUAAAGCUGUUUCUGCUCACUUGUAAGGCUACUAGGCUACUCUUAGCUUAGCUUGAGGCUACGCUACUUUUAGCUUAGCUUGCAGUCAUCGAACGUAUUCUUACCGCUAUCGUGGGAUUGUGCGCCCGUCUCCUCUUCUUUGAGUCAGUUCCUCUCCUCCAUGGACAGAAACCCGCAGAGUCCCGAACGCUCCAGUGGAGCGAACCGCUCGUUGAUAUCGGCAGUUUGUUGUUGGAGUGACGAGACGAUCCACUGAGAGCUUUCAGCAGAGACGUCGUCCAGCCAUUAUUCACGAACCAGCAAAAACCAAACACAGGAACUGGAGAUACAGUUCUUCUGAAUAUAGUAACACACACGUGUCCGUUUGUAUGCUCGUCUUGCAAGUACUGCUGUAUCAGUCAUGCCUAUGACCUCACACGUGAUUGGACGAGGAGUCUAAGGGUAUUGUUAUACGGAAGGACCAGUAUUUUAGGAAGACAAAUGGUUGGGACUUUGAAACAGCUGAUAUGCUUUAUGUAAAGCCGUGUUUCGGUGUCAGCAGAACGACUUUCCCUAGAAAUCUGUACAGUGGUGCCUCUUUCUCCAUUCCACCAGACAGUCUUGGAUGAGUCUGACAGACAUGCAAUGUUGACAAUGUAUCAUCACAUGUACCCUUGUGUCACUGAGGUUGAAUGUUUUGCCAUGACAUGUAAACGGGUAACAUAUAUGAAUGUAACUUACUCAAUCGAUAGAUGCAGAGCAGAAAGGUCAGCAUAUUGGUGUGGAAACACUAACAGUUUUGAGGAACCCGUCCUUGACCCUCUAGCAGAACUACGACCAGCCAUUAUAAAGCAGUUUAUAGU
ensembl:lncRNA